ACUCAUGAAAAUUAGUUCUCGUUACGAAUUAUUGCACGGUAUAUGAAAAUCGCGUGUGUACUGAAAAAAAUCGUUGACAGGAACGAGAACACAAUUUUUGCGGGCUUGUCUCCGCAACGCGACGAGAGACAAAUGCAAAAUAGUGAAAUUUGUCCCAUAUACGAGGUCUGCUUAAACUUUUACGUAUUUUUUUCAACCUCACAUGCGGAUAGUGUCGCUCAAAUUUCCAUACAAAUUUGCGGGCUAAGUAGAUCGUGUUUCAAUGCCGCUUUCUUUGUAGUCCAGCUACGGCAGCUACUGAUUUUUUUUUUCUUUUUACAUUUUCUCGAGAAAAAAUUUGUUGCAGACUACCGGAGUCAAAUUUUUCACGAAAAAACGCGCAUACCUCGCUCAUCAGUCGUUGAUUUGGACUCGCAUUCCCUCAAGCAAAUUUGUCGUUAACUACCAGAGUCAAAUUGUUCACGAAAACCACACGCGUACCUCGUUCUCAUCAAUCGCUGAUUUGGACUCGAAUAUUGGAAAUGAGAAAUCAGUUGGUCCCUCGUCGAGACAUCGAGCGAAUGUCGAAGGAAUUUUUACAUUUUCGUGUGUAGUUUUGUUCACUUUAAAUUUCGCGAAAGAUUCACGAGAGAAGAGAGUACUUGCCGCGCCUCAAAAUUCUUGCUCUAUCGUCCCCGGAUCGAGAGAAUAUCACACGAAGGCGCGCGAGCGACUCAAACUCGAGAGAAUUCCUCUUGAUCCACGACUUUUUAUUGGUUUGGUAUAAGCACGAAAGCCCUUUGUUGUUGACAGAUAAGGAAAAAGAUCGCUACUACAAGCAAAGAUAAGAUUUUUCUCGAGUGUUUGGGAAUUAACACGCGUUGAUUAACACAAUCGCGCGUCAUUGAAGAUUGGAGAAAAAAACGUCCGCUCUGGAAAGGAAAACACCGCAAAAUCCUUCGACGAGUAUUUGGCGAAAGGCUUGUUCACGAACUCGACGAUAUUACGCGCAUGCGAAAGACACUCGCAUCCGGAAGAUGCGGAAGUUUAAUCAACGCAGAUUCUCAUCUUUUUCCGUGGAGAAUAAACUCUUAGGAAAGCUUUCCUACAAAUAUAUCUCUCAGAAUUUUCUCAACUCGUAGAAGGGGAUGGAGAAAGUCACGAGAGCUGAUGAUACUUAACGUGUGUAUUUGUUACGUGAAUGCGGCCAAUUCAACGAAUUCGUGUGCUCGAUGAUCUCGAUGUUCAAACGUUUUUUUUUUUCAUCGUUUAGUGUUUAAUUUCGAAAAGUCGUGCACCAUAAAAUUUUCAAGGGAUUUUAAGGGGGUUGAAACGUUACAGAAGUCGGCGAAAUCGGAUACUUUUAUAAUAAUUUUAUUCGUUAUUUAGCUCGUUAAAGGCGAUUUGGGAUGGUAAUGAAUAGUGAGAGAAAAGUAAUAACUUUGGGGAUGAGAAAUAUUCGCUGCGAUUACCACAAAUCUUAAACUUUAAAACACUAUCACUUUAAAUUUGUUUCUUGUUUUUUUUCUAUGCUACGCUCGGUUACGAGAUAAAGUCUAGA